ensembl:lncRNA
GUAAUUCAGUUUUAGGGUAGCGGAGUGGUACAGUAGGUAGGUAUUCAGUUUUAGCGGUAGCGGAGUGGUACAGUAGGUAGGUAUUCAGUUUGGAUGGACCCGGUGACCCAUCCAGGGUGUUGUUCCAGAUAAUCUCCAGUUAAAGCACUUACCAAGGAUGAAUGUAUUAAAUGAUUAAUAUGCUUUAAGCUUAAUAAUACUGUAAUAAUUGCUUUACUUUAAGAUCCCUUCCAAAUACAAUGCUUUCAGCUUUCCCCAGAGGACUUCCUAUUAAUUUGACACACUACAGAGAGCACUUACUACACAAUAAAGCACCAAUUUUCAAUUCAGCCAGAGAAAAGGUAUGACUUCAGUGUGUGCCCGCUGACAAUAAAGCAUUGAUCUG